AAUAGAUACCCGAGGUAGUCCACGCCGUAAACGAUGAGUGCUAAGUGUUAGGGGGUUUCCGCCCCUUAGUGCUGCAGCUAACGCAUUAAGCACUCCGCCUGGGGAGUACGGUCGCAAGACUGAAACUCAAAGGAAUUGACGGGGGCCCGCACAAGCGGUGGAGCAUGUGGUUUAAUUCGAAGCAACGCGAAGAACCUUACCAGGUCUUGACAUCCCAUUGACCACUAUGGAGACAUAGUUUUCCCUUCGGGGACAACGGUGACAGGUGGUGCAUGGUUGUCGUCAGCUCGUGUCGUGAGAUGUUGGGUUAAGUCCCGCAACGAGCGCAACCCUUGUUCUUAGUUGCCAUCAUUUAGUUGGGCACUCUAAGGAGACUGCCGGUGACAAACCGGAGGAAGGUGGGGAUGACGUCAAAUCAUCAUGCCCCUUAUGACCUGGGCUACACACGUGCUACAAUGGACGGUACAAACGGUUGCCAACCCGCGAGGGGGAGCUAAUCCGAUAAAACCGUUCUCAGUUCGGAUUGUAGGCUGCAACUCGCCUACA
rnacentral:rRNA from 1 species